UACGGGGGGGGGCAAGCGUUGUUCGGAAUUACUGGGCGUAAAGGGCUCGUAGGCGGCCAACUAAGUCAGACGUGAAAUCCCUCGGCUUAACCGGGGAACUGCGUCUGAUACUGGAUGGCUUGAGGUUGGGAGAGGGAUGCGGAAUUCCAGGUGUAGCGGUGAAAAUGCGUAGAUAUCUGGAGGAACACCGGUGGCGAAGGCGGCAUCCUGGACCAAUUCUGACGCUGAGGAGCGAAAAGCCAGGGGAGCAAACGGG
rnacentral:rRNA from 1 species